UUCUCCAUGAGGUUUUGAAAGCUUAGAGGAUGAGAUGGAAAACCAAAGUGAGGCUGAUGAAACAAGUGAGAGCAUGUACAUAUGUGUGUGUAUAUAUAUGUAAGUUGAAUUUAUUUUAUUUGCCUUUUGAGACAAUGAGGAAAGCUCAGCUGUCAAGAAACAGGGAUGCUAAUCCUCAUUCAGUCAUUACUAACAAACUGAAAAUAACGGCUCCCCGAGGAAGGCAACGUUGAUUCAAUGAAUCUAAGCAGUGAGCUUCUGUGUUCUCUUGCAGCAAUCAAAAACAAUAAAAAAUAGCCAUCAUUGAUAAUACUUUUAAUA
rnacentral:lncRNA from 1 species